ACGUAGGGGGCAAGCGUUGUCCGGAAUUACUGGGCGUAAAGCGCACGCAGGCUGCGUUAUAAGUCGGUAGUGAAAUACGACGGCUCAACCUUCGUCUGUCUAUCGAUACUGUAGAUCUAGAGUAUGUGAGAGGGAAGCGGAAUUCCAGGUGUAGCGGUGAAAUGCAUAGAUAUCGGGAGGAACACCAGUGGCGAAGGCGGCUUCCUGGCACAUAACUGACGCUCAGGUGCGAAAGCUAGGGCAGCGAACAG
rnacentral:rRNA from 1 species